GUGACCCCAGGAUGGGCGAGGCCACCCGCCGAGUU
rnacentral:rRNA from 1 species